rnacentral:rRNA from 1 species
UACGUAGGGUGCAAGCGUUAAUCGGAAUUACUGGGCGUAAAGCGUGCGCAGGCGGUCAUGUAAGUCAGUUGUGAAAUCCCCGGGCUCAACCUGGGAACUGCAUCUGUGACUGCAUCGCUGGAGUGCGGCAGAGGGGGAUGGAAUUCCGCGUGUAGCAGUGAAAUGCGUAGAUAUGCGGAGGAACACCGAUGGCGAAGGCAAUCCCCUGGGCCUGCACUGACGCUCAUGCACGAAAGCGUGGGGAGCAAACAGG